rnacentral:lncRNA from 1 species
GCUGCUUCCUCUAGUCAGCCAGAGAAAUAGCGUAAGAUGUCACAGAAGAGUUUUAAGACCAUGGUUUUAUUCUCCUCUUCUUAAUAGAUGGCCAAGGAGAAGCGUGACGGGCUGGAUCCCUGGUUCUUUCCACAUCUGCCUCCAGCCUUCCCGAGCAGGGGAAGCGAGUCUGAGUCAUC